GACGAACGCUGGCGGCGUGCUUAACACAUGCAAGUCGAACGGAAAGGCCCUGCUUUUGUGGGGUGCUCGAGUGGCGAACGGGUGAGUAACACGUGAGUAACCUGCCCUUGACUUUGGGAUAACUUCAGGAAACUGGGGCUAAUACCGGAUAGGAGCUCCUGCUGCAUGGUGGGGGUUGGAAAGUUUCGGCGGUUGGGGAUGGACUCGCGGCUUAUCAGCUUGUUGGUGGGGUAGUGGCUUACCAAGGCUUUGACGGGUAGCCGGCCUGAGAGGGUGACCGGCCACAUUGGGACUGAGAUACGGCACAGAAUCCUACGGGAGGCAGCAGUGGGGAAUAUUGCACAAUGGGCGGAAGCCUGAUGCAGAAACGCCGCGUGCGGGAUGACGGCCUUCGGGUUGUAAACCGAUUUCGCAUGUGACGAAGCGUGAGUGACGGUAAUGGGUAAAGAAGCACCGGCUAACUACGUG
rnacentral:rRNA from 1 species